rnacentral:lncRNA from 1 species
CAAAAUGUGACUUGAAGCCAAAGCCUCUUCCAUGACCACAAACACGCAUAGGAUGCUCCUUAGCUCUAAUCAUUUUUACCAAGAUGUAAUGACAGUAUUAUGAAACGAAGAGGCCAAUUUUGGAUUGCUAUACCAGUACAUCCUACAACACAUAUAAAAUUUCAUCUUUACCAAAUUUAUUUAACUAAAAUAAAUAUUAAUGAAAAAAAGUAUCUACUUACAAUUUUUUCAUCCAUUUUGCGUGUAG